GUGCUUACACAUGCAAGUCGAACGAACCUUCGGGUUAGUGGCGGACGGGUGAGUAACGCGUGAGAAUCUGCCCUCAGGAGGGGGAUAACGGUUGGAAACGACCGCUAAUACCCCAUAUGCCUACUGGUGAAACGAAUUUCGCCUGAGGAUGAGCUCGCGUCUGAUUAGCUAGUUGGUGAGGUAAUGGCUCACCAAGGCUUCGAUCAGUAGCUGGUCUGAGAGGAUGAUCAGCCACACUGGGACUGAGACACGGCCCAGACUCCUACGGGAGGCAGCAGUGGGGAAUUUUCCGCAAUGGGCGAAAGCCUGACGGAGCAACGCCGCGUGAGGGACGAAGGCCUCUGGGCUGUAAACCUCUUUUCUCAAGGAAGAAGAUAUGACGGUACUUGAGGAAUAAGCCACGGCUAAUUCCGUGCCAGCAGCCGCGGUAAUACGGGAGUGGCAAGCGUUAUCCGGAAUUAUUGGGCGUAAAGCGUCCGCAGGCGGCUUUUCAAGUCUGCUGUUAAAGCGUGGAGCUUAACUCCAUCAUGGCAGUGGAAACUGAAAGGCUUGAGUAUGGUAGGGGCAGAGGGAAUUCCCGGUG
rnacentral:rRNA from 1 species